GACGAACGCUGGCGGCGUGCUUAACACAUGCAAGUCGAACGGUGACGGAGGAGCUUGCUCCUCCUGAUCAGUGGCGAACGGGUGAGUAACACGUGAGCAAUCUGCCCCUGACUCUGGGAUAACUGCGGGAAACUGUAGCUAAUACCGGAUACGACGCGCGAAGGCAUCUUCUGCGCGUGGAAAGAAUUUCGAUCAGGGAUGAGCUCGCGGCCUAUCAGCUUGUUGGUGAGGUAAUGGAUCACCAAGGCGACGACGGGUAGCCGGCCUGAGAGGGUGACCGGCCACGCUGGGACUGAGACGAGGCCCAGACUCCUACGGGAGGCAGCAGUGAGGAAGAUUGCACAAUGGGCGCAAGCCAGAUGCAGCAACGCCGCGUGAGGGACGACGGCCUUCGGGUUGUAAACCUCUUUUGGCAGGGAAGAAGCGAAAGUGACGGUACCUGCAGAAAAAGCACCGGCUAACUACGUG
rnacentral:rRNA from 1 species